UGUAAAAGUAAAACUAAACUAAAAGUAUCAAUAAAAAAUUGAAGAUACCCUUUAUGAUAUGUUAGAAUGAAAAAAUAACGGUAUUUUGUUUUAGAUAAAACAGGAAAAAUAAAAGACCCCAUAAAAUUAUGAGAAUAUUUGUGUUAUUGUUUAAAUAGUAAUAACAACUAAUGAAAAUACUACACUAAUUAUUUGAAAUAGAGGAACUAAUUAUUCCGGUUUGUUUUAUGAGUGUUUUAUUUGGAAAUCCCGUUUGCUUUGACUGUUAAAUUAAAUAAAAGGAAAGGAGAUGAUUUAAAAAAAAAAAUAUACAGAAAAAGGAGUUAAUGUAAAACCUCUAUCCUUUGUCGGCACCAUUCUUAGCCAGCUAAUUGCGAUGUGAGCCACUGCCGCCAAGACCUUCCUCUUUCUUUCACCACCGUUCUUUCGACAUAACUCUUUUGUGUAUAUUGAAUACAUGAGCUGCACAUGUAUUGGACAAACCUUUCAUCUUCGCUUCAAUAGCAAAUGAGCCUCAAAACCUCAAAUUUGACAACAGAGUAAUUGAGUUGAGGAAUAUCAGACUCAUAUUGUAUUUGCGACUCUCCUCCACGUGAUGGUGGAUGCAGUUGAUAUUGGAGUAGACAUGCCAUUGCCAUUUUUGCAGAUUCGUUCCAUCUCAAAGAUGUUAGCAAGCGGUGAAUAUCGUUACCAGAGAAGUGAAAGAAGGAAAGGAAACGAAGAACGAUGAUAAGAUUUGAGAAUACUAUAAGUACACCAAUUACUUUUUGAAUUUUCUAACUAAAGUGUUUUUCACUGAUGCUUGAAUUCGAUCCCCCUGUCAUGAUCAAAAAAUAUUUUGCAAAUUUUUUGAAGUUAUUCGAAUGGGAUUUGAAAAGACUAUAAUGUAAUACGAAAUUUAUAUAACUACGCACACUUACCUU